CUAUACAUGACUCUGCGCAUAUCAAUAAGCGGAGGAAAAGAAACUAACAAGGAUUCCCUCAGUAACGGCGAGUGAAGCGGGAAGAGCUCAAAUUUGAAAUCUUGAAAGGUCACCUUUCACGAAUUGUAGUUUAAAGAAGUGUUUUCUGUUACGAUCGUAAUAUAAGUUCUUUGGAAUAGGACAUCACAGAGGGCGAGAAUCCCGUCUAUGAUUGCGAUUUGUAGCUUUGUGAUACACUUUCAAAGAGUCGGGUUGCUUGGGAAUGCAGCCCAAAACGGGAGGUAAAUUUCUUCUAAGGCUAAAUAUUGGCGAGAGACCGAUAGCGAACAAGUACCGUGAGGGAAAGAUGAAAAGAACUUUGAAAAGAGAGUUAAAUAGUACGUGAAAUUGUCAAGAGGGGAGCGUUUGACACCAGUGUUGUUUUCUCGAAAAUCAAUUAAAAAUGGCUCGAUUUUGUAUUGCUGAGACCUUAAAAGCUCACUGUACAUUUUUCGUGUCUUUUUUAAUGCACUUUUCGUUUAACAAGUCAACAUCAGUUUCUUUUGUUGUAAAAGGGUCAUUGGUAAGGUGGCUUUCUUUUCGGAGAAAGUGUUUAUAGCCUUUGGCCUCUCGCAAUCGGAGAGACUGAGGUCUGCAGCGUAGACUCUUCGGGGUUAGAUACAUUUGUGCUAAGUUAUAGCUUUUUAUAGACAACUUGUUGACUAUAAUUAGUCUUGUAGCUUACUCGCUUAUGCUAUUUUACCUACGCUUAGGAUGUUGAGUCGUAGAGCACGCAG
rnacentral:rRNA from 1 species